AAAAAGAUAAGCUAAAUAAAGCUAAUGGGUUCAUACCCCAGCUAUGAGAAUCACAUCUCUCUUUUUAC
rnacentral:tRNA from 1 species